rnacentral:rRNA from 1 species
CACGUAGGGUGCGAGCGUUGUCCGGAAUUAUUGGGCGUAAAGCGCGUGUAGGCGGCCUCUCAAGUCGGGUGUGAAAGCCCGGGGCUCAACCCCGGGAUGCCGCUCGAAACUGGGAGGCUUGAGGACGGAAGAGGGGAGUGGAAUUCCUGGUGUAGCGGUGAAAUGCGUAGAGAUCAGGAGGAACACCCGUGGCGAAGGCGGCUCCCUGGUCCGUUACUGACGCUGAGACGCGAAAGCGCGGGGAGCGAACGGG